rnacentral:rRNA from 1 species
CCUACUGGAGGCAGCAGUGGGGGAUAUUGCACAAUGGGGGGAACCCUGAUGCAGCGACGCCGCGUGGGUGAAGGAGGGUUUCGGCGCGUAAAGCUCUAUCGGCAGGGAAGAAGAAGUCGGUACCUGACCAAGAAGCCCCGGCGAACUAUGUGACAGCAGCGGCGGUAAUACGUAGGGGGCAAGCGUUAUCCGGAUUGACUGGGUUUAAAGGGGGCGCAGACGGCACUGCAAGCAAGGAGUGAAAGUCCGGGGCCCAACCCGGGGACUGCUCUUGGAACUGGAUGGCUGGAGUACAGGAGGGGCAGGCGGAAUUCCUGGUGUAGCGGUGAAAUGCGUAGAUAUUAGGAGGAACACCGGUGGCGAAGGCGGCCUGCUGGACUGUGACUGACGUUGAGGCCCGAAGGCGUGGGGAGCAAACAGGAUUAGAUACCCGAGUAGUC